GGUUGUGGCUCAGUGGUAGAGCCCUCGCCUAGCAUGUGCAAGGCCUUGGGGUUCAAUCCUCAGCACCA
rnacentral:tRNA from 1 species